rnacentral:lncRNA from 1 species
UGAAAAGAAGCAGUUACAUCCUUAUUUAUAGAGUUCUACCCAGAGUCCAUCAGGACUUGAACUCUAAUAAUAAAUAAAUAUUAAAUAAACCUCUACUUGACUCUAACUGAACCAAACCGACUCAAUAAAUAACUGGAUUAAAUAGACUCAAUAAACAUUAUUCAAAAGCUCAGAAAAAGGGUCAUAACAGUUCCUCCCUCUUCAAAUCAGCCUUGUCCUCAAGGCUGAGCAGCAUCAAUCUCGGGGAGCUU